GCGAAUAUAGUUUAGUGGUAAAACAUAACCUUGCCAAGGUUAGGUCGCGGGUUCGAUUCCCGCUAUUCGCU
rnacentral:tRNA from 1 species